UAAUUCAAUACACUGUAACGAAUUGCUGUAAAAACUACAGCGUUAUUUUACAGAAGCUGACUGUAUUUUAAAUAAUACAGAAUAUUGCUGUAAAGUGCAAGGCAUUGUGGGGUCACGUGACGGAUUAACUCAAAUGUACAGAAUAAUGCUGUAAAUUUCAAAUCUACAAUGGCGGGAUUAUCUUCAACAGUCGAGAUUGGUGAAGUGCGCAAAAUGAGUGAUUCACACCUGGGGACACACUUUGCCAUGCAGGCCACUGGAUGCUGACUACUGAAGGUUAGGUUGUGUGUGACGGUGCUCAGCACAGCUUCAUGUCUGGCCUUGCCACUCUGAUCAUAGCAUGUUAAAUAUUCAAUCUUCAGUACCAGGAUGGGGCAGCGUCUAUCUUGGAGUCCACAGAAAGAUAUUAAUCCAGAGAGUGGAACAAGAAGCGUCAUCUAAAAUGCCAGCAUACAGAAGAAACAGGUUGCAGUGAAACCACAUGUUGCCGCUCUUCUAAACACAAUGAUGAAUUUUCAGUGAAAUCGAUGAAAAUUCCAGCUACUUGUUGUGCUCUGAUGGAUCAAGAUGUGGAACGUUUUACAGACUCACUUGGGCUUUGUUAUGCGAUAUUGUUACAUGAUGGAUAUGUUGGUUAAGGUAUUGUUUAAACAUUCCUUGUUUAAAG